AACCCAAGGGAUGAUAUAGAGUGAGAAUCCAUGGUUGGGAGAUCGAAUCAUGUAAACAAUCCAUUCUCAACUCUAUCUCCCUUCUGCUUUGGGAAGAAAGCUUCAGACAUCACACUUACGAGAGAUGGAAGCAGUGCCUCCAGUUGAAGUCCCAGCAACUGCAAAAUGGAAAUUCAGAAGCAAGUCAUCUCACUAGGUGAUACUUGAUGUGAUUAUACAUUCCCAACUCCAUAUUGUAGAAGUGAAACGUUUAAAAUAAUGCAGGCAAGGUGUAUUCCUUUCCCAUUUGUAAAGUAAUUUUUUAGUUUAUAUAUUAGGUACUCUAUAGAUAAGUGGUUUCAUAGAAUUUAUUGAUAGUACUUUUAAAGUUUCA